rnacentral:lncRNA from 1 species
AACCAAGAUUAAAUUGCAUGAACGAUUUGACUGAAAAGGCGAUUUUAAUUAAAAAAGAUCCAAAAUAUAAGAAACUGGAUAAAAAAACAAACAAGCGCUUGACUCAAAGUAAUGUGUAAUACUGGAUCGAUAUACUGCAGGACAAAAAGCAGACAGUUCUCACGAGAGAGAUAUCGGAGUGUUAUAAAAGACUCAUGGGCAUGCCUAAACCACACCCACUUUUUCCCACGACCACCUUCAACUCUUGAUUUAACUCGCUUCUGUAAAAAUGCGAAAAGACAAUAAAGACUAUAUUAAAUAUUGUUGUACCCUUUUUCUGAUAGAUAAGAUUUGCGUAAAGUAUUAAGUGACAGUCAUGAAUUAGCAAACCAUAGCCCUCAGACAAGGCGAAAUGACGUCCCAGAGACCCUACAAAGUACAAAUUCAAAAAUUCAGCAACAAUAUAUACUGAUUAAAAAUGUCCCCAAAAUGGCACACAUUUUUAUCUUUCCGCAUGCCAUUCCGCUGGGCUAUUUUGCUUUUACAUGUUGAAUAUAGCGAACCGUUGCUCCCCGAUACUCUCCGGUGAUAACUGACCGUUUAGUCGUUUUCGUAAUGUUAUAUAUCAUAGUUUGCAGUUUAUCUGCGGCGUAUCUAAAAUCUGUCGUCAUGCAAAGUUGUUUUGGAAAGACAUAUGAAUACGUCAUGAAGACAUAAUUACGUCCACUGAUGACGGGUUCGGGCUUAUGUGGAUCGAAUUUGUAAUAAUAUAUAGAUAUGGUGGUGUUCCUACAAUAUUAAACAAAACAAUUAUAGAGAGAUAUAGGUAAAUUAAUGCAGAUGCAUGUCUAUGUAGUUUAUUCACCAAGCACGAAAAUAAUUUUGAUAUGAAGGGCAACUAUUUCAUGGAGUAACUUUUUUAUCAGGUUUUAUGGUUUAUGGAUGUAAACCUUUUUAGUUGACUCAAAGACGUGGGUUAAUUCACUUUAUUUAAUUUAGUUCUACAGUAUAUGUAUGCGUAUACUACGUUUGCCGCUCUUCUUUUUAUGAGCAAAUUUACUCAUUUUGGGGGUAUAAAGCAAAUUUUGCUCAAAACGUGAAGUGAAUUUGAAACUUUACUGAAAAUUGGAGAAAAUUUUACUCAAUAUUGUGAAUCACUGUGGG